ACCAUCUUGGAAACGAGAAAACAUUUAUUUUCCAUAGAAUCAGCAUAUCUUGUUCUAGUUUUACCACUUCAACCCAGUCAUCAAGCUUGUGAUUUCAACUUCAAUGGUGCAGAUAUAUAAUGUGUUUAUCGGUCGACAACCAGGAAUAUAUGAUAACUGGGAGGAUGCAAAAGCUCAAGUGCAUCGAUUUAGCGACAAUUUAUAUAAAUCAUAUACCAGUAAAGAUGAAAAGUGAUAUUCCAUCUCAA